GGCCCCGCUCCCAGCAGCAUCAAGCAGAAGCUUUAAAGCAUAUUAGAAAAUUGAAAAGUCAGCCAAAAGAGUUGCACUUGGCCAUGUAAAAGUACUGAGCUGUGUGCUCGAUGGUAGCAUAAAACUGAAAGUUUCAAUUUUCUGAAGUGCUCGCCUUGGCUCGAGAAGGUUGCGAAAGGCCAAGAGUCAGUGCCAAAGGAGGCGGCUAAGCACGGAGGAGACUCAUCUUGGUGGGUUACUGCUGAUGCAGUGUAUCGCAUAUCUGCUUCGUCAGUUGGAACUUCUGGCAUCGUUUUUACUUAAGGGUACACACUGGGGUUCUGGAAUUUGCAUACAAAACAUAAAAGUGCUACCUGCCCAUAUAUGUAUGUAAAAGCUAAGCUCUCCAUAGCGGACACAUGGUUCCAGUAAUUCAAUCCGUACUAUCCAUAUAGUGUAAGUAGCGAAUGUGCACAGUAGAUGUUCGGUAGAUGUUUUGUUCUACCCAAAUUGUCGGAUAUGUGCGGAUAAUGCUGGGGGGCUGUUGACAAAUUAGCCAAAAUUUAGAAUUUGGCAGGCCCUGAAGGACGCUCGUCCGCGCUUGUGGCAAUGAAAAUUAGCUGAGACAUCGCACGUCUGGUGUGUGGGGGAGUGUUAUUGUUUUGCCAACUUGUAGUCUGGAUCGUAGAGAACUAUUGUCGAACGGUUCGGUUCGGUUCAGUUCAGUUCAGUAGGCAACCCUGAACUUCUUGCGAAUCGAUUGACAACUCUAUCCCCUCGCCUGCUCAUGUGAGCGACAUGAUUGAUGCUGGCUUUCACUUUUUCGGCUAGAGCGCGUUGACUUCCCCUGCAUUUGGCCAUCGCUGCCCACGCAGCAUGGCACGGCGAAUAUUCGCCUAAAAAUUCUAUCUCAUUUUGCUUGUGACAUAUUUGAAAUUUAUUUUCGGUGCUGAUGCUGCCACCCCGAUGCUGUUGCUGUUGCUGUUGCAGCUGCAUCUGCACCUCCGCCCACGCACUGCAUUGACUCAGUUUGAGAGUGAAAAUAAAAAAGAACAGUUGGCAAAUACUGUAUUUAUAGAAAAUGCAAUAUGCAUGGAAUCCGAAUGAAAUACGGAAACUCAUUUGUAAAAAGCUACAAUGCCUUGGCCGGCUCCACCACCUCUUUUGUUGUCACUUACAGCAGCCGCAAGCGGACAAAUUGGUUAACCUCCUUUUCGUUUUUGUUUUUUGGCAGUACAGGUCCAUAUUUAUGGUUCGUAAAUAUGAAUGUGGGAUUUCUGUCGAGCCAAUACCAAUUGGACGGCCAUUUACGGCAGGCAAAGGCAGAGAGGAAGCAGAAUUGUGAAUGAAUGUGUAACAGUAAGCUUUUGGCAGCGAGCACUGCUCUGAAAUAUUCUAUCCAUGCUCCAAGGGGAUUUCAUUUCCACUCGGUCGAAUGCGAAAUGUGGAAAAACUAUUUUCGUCGACCCAAGAAAACUCAUGAAAGUGUCAGUGAACUUUGGCGCAGACAAAUCCGGCCGAGACGGGAUGCACUGGCUACACAGCUGAAGAGUGUUGCAAUCGUUGACGUCAUCGCCGUUGGAACAGAGGCGUCAUCAGGCGGCAGAAGUAGAAGAGGCACGCAGCCAGAUUGAUGGGGAACUUGUGGCAUAAUUGAAAUGGUUUUAAAAAUCCAUUCUUAAUGUGUUUCGCCUUCGCUAUUAAAUCCUUUGCCAUUUGCAUUAAAAACAA